GGCUUAUACAUGCAAGUCGUGGGGCAGCAGGUUUGUAGCAAUAUAAAUGCUGGCGACCGGCAAACGGGUGCGUAACACGUACGCAACUUACCCAUUACUAGUGAAUAGCCCAGGGAAACUUGGAUUAAUACACCAUAUUAUAUAGAGUAGGCAUCUACUUUAUAUCAAAGCUUCGGCGGUAAUGGAUGGGCGUGCGGUUGAUUAGAUAGUUGGCGGGGUAACGGCCCACCAAGUCUACGAUCAAUAGCUGAUGUGAGAGCAUGAUCAGCCACACGGGCACUGAGACACGGGCCCGACUCCUACGGGAGGCAGCAGUAAGGAAUAUUGGGCAAUGGACGCAAGUCUGACCCAGCCAUGCCGCGUGAAGGAUGACGGUCCUCUGGAUUGUAAACUUCUUUUAUCUGGGACGAAAACCACCCUUUCUAGGGUGCUUGACAGUACCAGGUGAAUAAGCACCGGCUAACUCCGUGCCAGCAGCCGCGGUAAUACGGAGGGUGCAAGCGUUAUCCGGAUUCACUGGGUUUAAAGGGUGCGUAGGCGGGCAGGUAAGUCAGUGGUGAAAUCUUCGAGCUUAACUCGGAAACUGCCGUUGAUACUAUCUGUCUUGAAUAUAGUGGAGGUAAGCGGAAUAUGUCAUGUAGCGGUGAAAUGCUUAGAUAUGACAUAGAACACCAAUUGCGAAGGCAGCUUGCUACACUAUUAUUGACGCUGAGGCACGAAAGCGUGGGGAUCAAACAGGAUUAGAUACCCUGGUAGUCCACGCCCUAAACGAUGAUUACUCGACAUCAGCGAUACACUGUUGGUGUCUAAGCUAAAGCAUUAAGUAAUCCACCUGGGAAGUACGAUCGCAAGAUUGAAACUCAAAGGAAUUGGCGGGGGUCCGCACAAGCGGUGGAGCAUGUGAUUUAAUUCGAUGAUACGCGAGCACCUUACCAGGGCUAGAUGUCAGUGACCGUGUGAAAGCCAUUUUAUAGCAUAUACACUGAUAGUGCUGCAUGGCUGUCGUCAGCUCGUGCCGUGGAGGUGUUGGGGUUAAGUC
rnacentral:rRNA from 1 species